rnacentral:rRNA from 1 species
UGGGGAAGUAUUGCACAAUGGGGGAAACCCUGAUGCAGCCAUGCCGCGUGUGUGAAGAAGGACCUUCGGGUUGUAAAGCACUUUCAGUAGGGAGGAAGGUAGUGUAGUUAACACCUGCAUUAUUUGACGUUACCUACAGAAGAAGCACCGGCUAACUCCGUGCCAGCAGCCGCGGUAAUACGGAGGGUGCGAGCGUUAAUCGGAAUUACUGGGCGUAAAGCGCAUGCAGGCGGCCUGUUAAGUCAGAUGUGAAAGCCCGGGGCUUAACCUCGGAAUUGCAUUUGUAAACUGGCAGGCUAGAGUCUUGUAGAGGGGGGUAGGAAUUUCAGGUGUAGCGGUGAAAUGCGUAGAGAUCUGAAGGAAUACCAGUGGCGAAGGCGGCCCCCCUGGACAAAGACUGACGCUCAGAUGCGAAAGCGUGGGGAGCAAACAGGAUUAGAUACCCCUGGUAG